AUACGGAGGAUCCGAGCGUUAUCCGGAUUUAUUGGGUUUAAAGGGUGCGCAGGCGGCCAUUUAAGUCAGCGGUUAAAUCGUGGGGCUCAGCCCCAUUCUGCCGUUGAUACUGGGUGGCUUGAUUGCGGUCGAGGUUGGCGGAAUUCGUUGUGUAGCGGUGAAAUGCAUAGAUAUGACGAAGAACACCGAUUGCGUAGGCAGCUGACCAGACCGCAAAUGACGCUCAUGCACGAAAGUGCGGGGAUCGAACAGGAUUAGAUACCCUGGUAGUCCGCACAGUAAACGAUGAAUACUUGUUUUCGGCGAUAUAAUGUCGGAGGCAAAGCGAAAGCGAUAAGUAUUCCACCUGGGGAGUACGCCGGCAACGGUGAAACUCAAAUGAAUUGGCGGGG
rnacentral:rRNA from 1 species